AUUGAACGCUGGCGGCAGGCCUAACACAUGCAAGUCGAACGAGUGGCGGACGGGUGAGUAAUGUCUGGGAAACUGCCUGAUGGAGGGGGAUAACUACUGGAAAAGGUAGCUAAUACCGCAUAACAUCGACUGUGACCAGAUGGGAUUAGCGAGUUGUGGGGGUAACGGCUCACCAAGGCGACGAUCCCUAGCUGGUCUGAAAGGAUGACCAGCCACACUGGAACUGAGACACGGUCCAGACUCCUAGGGGAGGCAGCAGUGGGGAAUAUUGCACAAUGGGCGCAAGCCUGAUGCAGCCAUGCCGCGUGUAUGAAGAAGGCCUUCGGGUUGUAAAGUACUUUCAGCGGGGAGGCGUUACCCGCAGAAGAAGCACCGGCUAACUCCGUGCCAGCAGCCGCGGUAAUUC
rnacentral:rRNA from 1 species